AAAUAAGAAACAAUAAAUUGUAUUUAGUUUCGACCUAAAAGUUAGGUGCCCAAAACACCCUUAUUUA
rnacentral:tRNA from 1 species